GACGAACGCUGGCGGCGUGCCUAAUACAUGCAAGUUGAGCGAUGAAGCUUGGUGCUUGCACCAAUUUGAAGAGCAGCGAACGGGUGAGUAACGCGUGGGGAAUCUGCCUUUGAGCGGGGGACAACAUUUGGAAACGAAUGCUAAUACCGCAUAACAACUUUAAACAUAAGUUUUAAGUUUGAAAGAUGCAAUUGCAUCACUCAAAGAUGAUCCCGCGUUGUAUUAGCUAGUUGGUGAGGUAAAGGCUCACCAAGGCGAUGAUACAUAGCCGACCUGAGAGGGUGAUCGGCCACAUUGGGACUGAGACACGGCCCAAACUCCUACGGGAGGCAGCAGUAGGGAAUCUUCGGCAAUGGACGAAAGUCUGACCGAGCAACGCCGCGUGAGUGAAGAAGGUUUUCGGAUCGUAAAACUCUGUUGGUAGAGAAGAACGUUGGUGAGAGUGGAAAGCUCAUCAAGUGACGGUAACUACACAGAAAGGGGCGGCUAACUACGUG
rnacentral:rRNA from 1 species